rnacentral:lncRNA from 1 species
CCUCACCUAAUAGUUAUUAGGCCCAACUCUAUCUUUAUCUCGGGGCAUCUGAUGCUAAUAUAGUGAUUGUACCUUCUCGAUGCAACUGAACCACUGUAACCAGCCAAAAAUGAUCAACAUCGAAAAAGGCACCCGCAUCUCUACAACGGUGGAAGACCAGUAGACUUAAUAUUCAGUGAGGAGAUUUAGGUUCAGGUCUCUUCUAAUUAGUCACAUAUAUUUGAUGUAGUGACUAGUAUGAUUUAGGUCAGUAUAUUUUAUGUCUGACCAACCU